GCCAAGACUAGCCCCAAGCAUAACCAACACUAAUACCAAACCAACAGAUACCAAACCAUUCACCUACACAAAGUAUAGGCGAUAGAAAUUUUAACCUGGCGCUAUAGAUGUAGUACCGUAAGGGAAAGAUAGAAAACCACCCAAGCACAAAACAGCAAGGACUAACCCCUAUACCUUUUGCAUAAUGAAUUAGCUAGAGACAAUUUCACAAAGAGAACUACAAGCCAAAUCCCCCGAAACCAGACGAGCUACCCAAAAACAGCUAAAAGAGCGCACCCAUCUAUGUGGCAAAAUAGUGGGAAGAUUUCUGGGUAGAGGUGAUAAGCCUACCGAGCCUGGUGAUAGCUGGUUAUCCAAGACAGAAUCUUAGUUCUACCUUAAGCUUACCUACAGAACUACUAAUCCUCCUGUAAGCUUAAUUGCUAGUCUAAAGAGGGACAGCUCUUUAGACACUAGGAAAAAACCUUACAGAGAGAGUAAAAACCCCAAUUACCAUAGUUGGCUUAAAAGCAGCCAUCAAUUAAGAAAGCGUUCAAGCUCAACACCAACCACCUUAAAAAUACCAAACAUAUAACUGAACUCCUCUCACCACAUUGGACUAAUCUAUUAUCCUAUAGAAGCAAUAAUGCUAGUAUAAGUAACAUGAAUAUUUUCUCCACCGCAUAAGCCUAAAUCGGACCGAAAGCCUCACCGAUACCUAACAGCCAGGUAUAACAAGCACAAACAAGCCAACACCACCUUCACUGUUAAUCCAACACAGGCAUGCCUCAAGGAAAGGUUAAAAAAAGUAAAAGGAACUCGGCAAACUCAAACCCCGCCUGUUUACCAAAAACAUCACCUCUAGCAUUACUAGUAUUAGAGGCACUGCCUGCCCGGUGACACACGUUUAACGGCCGCGGUACCCUGAC
rnacentral:rRNA from 1 species